AAAAGGAAAAGCUUUUCGCGGACGGUCCUCCAAAAAAGCCGGCUAAUUAGGCCAGCAGCCGGGUAAACGUAGGCGCAAGCGUGUCCGGAAUUAUUGGCGUAAAGAGCUCGUAGGCGGUUGUCGCGUCUGCUGGAAAACGCGAGGCUUAACCUCGCGCCUGCAGUGGGUACGGGCAGACUAGAGUGCGGUAGGGGAGACUGGAAUUCCUGGUGUAGCGGUGGAAUGCGCAGAUAUCAGGAGGAACACCGGUGGCGAAGGCGGGUCUCUGGGCCGUUACUGACGCUGAGGAGCGAAAACAUGGGGAGCGAACAGGAUUAGAUACCCUGGUAGUCCAUGCCGUAAACGUUGGGCACUAGGUGUGGGGCCCAUUCCACGGGUUCCGUGCCGCAGCUAACGCAUUAAGUGCCCCGCCUGGGGAGUACGGCCGCAAGGCUAAAACUCAAAGGAAUUGACGGGGGCCCGCACAAGCGGCGGAGCAUGCGGAUUAAUUCGAUGCAACGCGAAGAACCUUACCAAGGCUUGACAUACACCGGAAACAUCCAGAGAUGGGUGCCCCGCAAGGUCGGUGUACAGGUGGUGCAUGGUUGUCGUCAGCUCGUGUCGUGAGAUGUUGGGUUAAGUCCCGCAACGAGCGCAACCCUUGUCCUGUGUUGCCAGCGGGUUAUGCCGGGGACUCAUGGGAGACUGCCGGGGUCAACUCGGAGGAAGGUGGGGAUGACGUCAAAUCAUCAUGCCCCUUAUGUCUUGGGCUUCACGCAUGCUACAAUGGCCAGUACAAAGGGUUGCGAUGCCGUGAGGUGGAGCGAAUCCCAAAAAGCCGGUCUCAGUUCGGAUUGGGGUCUGCAACUCGACCCCAUGAAGUCGGAGUCGCUAGUAAUCGCAGAUCAGCAACGCUGCGGUGAAUACGUUCUCGGGCCUUGUACACACCGCCCGUCACGUCACGAAAGUCGGUAACACCCGAAGCCGGUGGCCCAACCCCUUGUGGGGGGAGCCGUCGAAGGUGGGACUGGCGAUUGGGACGAAGUCGUAACAAGGUAACCAAGGGCAG
rnacentral:rRNA from 1 species